rnacentral:rRNA from 1 species
GAAAGGCCUUGCGGUUUUAGAGGGGCCCAUGGGAUAUCAGCUUGUUGGUGUGGUAAAGGCGCACCAAGGCAGAGACGUCUAGGCGGAUUGAGAGAUUGACCGCCAACACUGGGACUGAGACACUGCCCAGACUCCUACGGGAGGCUGCAGUCGAGAAUCAUUCGCAAUGGGCGCAAGCCUGACGAUGCGACGCCGUGUGAGCGAUGAAGGCCUUCGGGUUGUAAAGCUCUUUCAAUUGGGAACAAGGGACAUGGGCGAAUAACCUAUGGACUUGAGGGUACCAGUAAAAGAAGCACCGGCUAACUCCGUGCCAGCAGCUGCGGUAAUACGGAGGGUGCAAGCGUUAAUCGGAUUCAUUGGGCGUAAAGGGGGCGUAGGCGGGAAUGUAAGUUAGAUGUGAAAUUUCAGCGCUCAACGUUGAAGCUGCAUCUAAAACUGCAUUUCUUGAGGGUAGACGGAGAAAAUGGAAUUCCAUGUGUAGCGGUGAAAUGCGUAGAUAUAUGGAGGAACACCUGUGGCGAAAGCGAUUUUCUAGUUUACACCAGACGCUGAGGCCCGAAAGCUAGGGGAGCAAACAGGAUUAGAUGCCCUGGUAGUCCUAGCCGUAAACGAUGUAUACUUGAUGUAGUUGGUCUCAACCCCAACUGUGUCGGAGCUAACGCGAUAAGUAUACCGCCUGGGGAGUACGCGCGCAAGCGUUAAACCCAAAAGAAUUGACGGGGGCCCGCACAAGCAGUGGAGCAUGUGGUUUAAUUCGAUGCAACGCGAAGAACCUUACCCAGGUUUGACAUGUAGAGGCUGGUACCAGAGAUGGUACUUUCCGUGAGGACUUCUACACAGGUGCUGCAUGGCUGUCGUCAGCUCGUGCCGUGAGGUGUUGGGUUAAGUCCCGCAACGAGCGCAACCCUUAUCGUUAGUUGCCAGCGAGUAAUGUCGGGGACUCUAACGAGACUGCCUAGGUUAACUAGGAGGAAGGUGAGGAUGAGGUCAAGUCAGCAUGGCCCUUAUGCCUGGGGCUACACACGUGCUACAAUGGUCGGUACAAUAGGAAGCGAUGUCGUGAGGCGGAGCAAAACCAGAAAGCCGAUCUUAGCUCGGAUUGGAGUCUGCAACUCGACUCCAUGAAGUUGGAAUUGCUAGUAAUGACGCGUCAGCAAUAGCGUCGUGAAUACGUUCCCGGGCCUUGUACACACCGCCCGUCACAUCAUGGAAGUUGGUUUUACCCGAAGUCGCCGACUUAACCUAAUUUAUUAGGAGAGAGGCGCCGAAGGUAAGGCUGAUGACUAGGAUGAAGUCGUAACAAGGUA